rnacentral:misc_RNA from 1 species
UUUUUUUUUUUAAUAAAUUUUUAAAAUUUGCUGUUUGGUUAACGAGAAUAGAGGAAUGAAAUAGGAUUUCAUGCAUUUUUAGCGCAUUUUCUCAGCAGCCAAACAUCACAUAGUAGAAUAAUAGCAAUUUAUUUAUCUUCUUUCUAUGUACAAUGAUUAUACGGGGCUCAAGGAAUUGCUUUAUAGAUUCAAGACUAGAAAAGAGGAGAAAAUUAUUUAGGGAUCAUGGCCUAGUGGACGGGAGAGGUUCGCCGCCGGCGUGGUGCACAUGUGGGGUACAUACAUUAUUUAGUUGGUGGGAUUAGUGAGUCCACCGAGGGUUCAUAUUUUAUUUAAUAAUAAUAAUAAUAAUAA